UUCUUGACACCGCCUUCUAUCCCAAAUGGUCAAGCUGCAGCAUCCGCAACGGAUUCUUUCUGUAUUCGCACACUGUCGAACCUUGGAGCGCGAUCACAGAAAUCCCACUGAGAUUGGCAGUCGGCGUGGCGGAAGGAAGAACCUACCAGUCCACCCGACCAUCCAACGGGCAUCUCGAUCUAUAACAGGUCUCGACUACUUCCCUAGCCACUUGUUUGUCUCCUGAGCUGCAGUAGUAGUUCGUCAGCUCUUGUCUGGACGGCAUUUUCCCCCUGGGAGAAGCGUAUCAACGAUGCGUUUCAACCGCUGCAUGCAUCACAAGUCACAAGCCAGCCGCAUUUACCACACACAAUAGCAUCCCUCCGGAGACAUUGCACCGGAAAACGCAAGGGACACUCUUCCGUCCCGACCCCUCUCGACCACGGGCUCAUCAUUUCUGGAGCUGCCUUAUCCAACAUUGUUCUAUGGUAACGAAGAGACAGGAAAGAAAGAUGUCCAACAUUUGGAACAUGAGCUACCGACGGCCACUCUUUAGCUUUACUAGUAUGUGUUCAUGCUGUGCUAUGUGGCACUGACAAGUCUGCCAUGUGUCUGUUGCUUCACUCGACAUGUAUCGCCGUUGUUAGCCCAAUGCAGAAACGAUUGGAGGACUAACG